GCGGGGGAACCCAUGUCACGGCGGCAGGAACCGCGUCGCUGCGGCCCGGCCCCCUCCCGCCGCCACCGCCCACUUGGCCCAGCGCCUCCCGGCAGGCACCGCGCCGCCCCCGCCCCCGGAGCGGCGUCACUUCCAGCCGCGGCCGGGGCGGGGAGAAGGGAGGGGGAGGGGGAGGCCUGGCCGCGGACAAACGAAUAAAUAAACGAGCAAAGCUGCCAUGAAGCUGCUUCCCCCGCUAAGAGAGGCUACCGAGGAGCGCGGCCCCGACGCCAGAGCGGCGGCCAUCUUGAGUGCUGGGGGUGUCGCAGGGAGUGCCCCGGGGUGCAGCGGGGGCUGCCGCCUUCGGUGCGGCGGGCCCUGCCGGGGCCGCGCCCUUACCUAGCGGCGCGGGGUCGCUGCGGGAGGGCCGAGGGCGAGGCCGCCGCGGAGGAGCGCCCGGCGUGGAAACGCGGAACGAGGGCAAGCGCGGGCCCGGCUCGGGGCUGGCCGGCGGCCGAGGGCGUCAGCGGGGCUGGAAGCGGGCGAGGUGAGCGCGGCUGCAGGGGCCCGCGUGGCUGCAAGCCAUGGUUCGGGAUGCGACGUCCGUGAGGACUCAGAUCUUCAGGAGCUAACAAAUCCUGCCUGUGCCUUACUGCUCGGAUGGUCAGGAAAUUCAUCUUUUUUUUUUUUUUUUUUUUUUUUUUUUUCCUCGCUCUUGAUGGUAAAGACAUUUCUACGAAGCUUCAUUGGUUUCUUGAGUGUGCCAGCUCCAUAGAGAGGAGUUGAAAAAUGCGUCAAAGAGACGAUGCAGGGAGUGCAAAUGUUGUAUAUAUCUCUUAUUUGCUGUUUUGCCCAAAGAAAACUCAAGCAGGCAAUGAUUUGACCUCAUGAAUUAAAGAACAUUCACAGCAAAAUCAGUAAGUGCUGAAAAAUAAAAGAACAGCAUACAAAUA